GAUUCUGCCCUACGGGGAAGGAUGAGAAGCUUCGACUAAGGUUCGACUCGAUCGCCAGCGAGAGAACGUUGCCGCAGGCAAUGGCCCGAAGGGCGAGGAGCGAUAGCGACGAGUUAUCCUUCCCCCUCUAUUC
rnacentral:sRNA from 1 species